CAAGUUCCCAUACUAUCACCGAAGUUAAGGAACGUCGAGCCAAGUCAGUACUUAGAUGGGUAACCGCUUGAGAAUACCAGGUGCGGUA